rnacentral:snRNA from 1 species
GUGUGGCAGCACAUAUCCUCAAAUUGUAAGGAGUCAGAAAAAGUUAGCAUGGCCUCUGUGUACGAAUGGUGUCACGCAAAUUUGUGAAGUGGCCCAUGUGUUU